rnacentral:rRNA from 1 species
CAGUAGCCGCGGGAAUACGAAGGGGGCUAGCGUUGUUCGGAAUUACUGGGCGUAAAGCGCACGUAGGCGGACAUUUAAGUCAGGGGUGAAAUCCCGGGGCUCAACCCCGGAACUGCCUUUGAUACUGGGUGUCUAGAGUAUGGAAGAGGUGAGUGGAAUUCCGAGUGUAGAGGUGAAAUUCGUAGAUAUUCGGAGGAACACCAGUGGCGAAGGCGGCUCACUGGUCCAUUACUGACGCUGAGGUGCGAAAGCGUGGGGAGCAAACAGGAUUAGAUACCCCAGUAGUCCCUGUCUCUUAUAC